UACGAAGGGGGCGAGCGUUGUUCGGAUUUACUGGGCGUAAAGGGCGCGCAGGCGGCGGAUCAAGUCAGACGUGAAAGCCCCGGGCUUAACCUGGGAACUGCGUUUGGGACUGAUUUGCUAGAGAUCGGGAGAGGAGAGUGGAAUUCCCAGUGUAGAGGUGAAAUUCGUAGAUAUUCGGAAGAACACCAGUGGCGAAGGCGGCUCACUGGCUCAUACUGGACGCUGAGGUGCGAAAGCGUGGGGAGCAAACAGG
rnacentral:rRNA from 1 species